UACGGGGGGGGCAAGCGUUGUUCGGAAUUACUGGGCGUAAAGGGCUCGUAGGUGGCCAACUAAGUCAGACGUGAAAUCCCUCGGCUUAACCGGGGAACUGCGUCUGAUACUGGAUGGCUUGAGUUUGGGAGAGGAAUGCGGAAUUCCAGGUGUAGCGGUGAAAUGCGUAGAUAUCUGGAGGAAUACCGGUGGCGAAGGCGGCAUCCUGGACCAUUACUGACGCUGAGGCGCGAAAGCUAGGGGAGCAAACGGG
rnacentral:rRNA from 1 species